rnacentral:pre_miRNA from 1 species
UCUUCAUUUCACUCGGCUCUCUCACCGGUCAGAGAGGCGAGAGAGAGUGUGCGAAAUGAAGAGA